rnacentral:lncRNA from 10 species
GUAGGUCUGCCAGCAACAACUUCAGUUAAUAUUUCUGUUUAUCUGGCUGUCCUGAGAGCAUGUCUCUACAUCUCUACCUGCAUUCUGGAAUCAGGGAGAAAGCCAAAACAGACAGACACUAGAUCAGCCGUGUCAACCCUUUGACUACAAGGACUUUUCCGCCUAUCUGUGGUGGGGUUCCUGGCAAGUCAGUUCUUCCUCAGGCCUUCGGUUUCCUCACCUACAAGAUGAGAGGGCUGGACCAGAUGGAAAUUCAGGGUGGAAGGGGAUGUCCGCGCACAGCCCACCACCCCCCCCCACAGGACCCUGGAUCCUUCAUCCCAGUUCCCACCACGCACCCGCCCCACAAAUCGCGCUCAAGAGUGAAUGUUGUUAACUUACUGAAGACCUGACGAAACAUGGGAAAGAUGGCAAUGUCUGACAAGAGGAACAGACGUGAAAUAAAAUCCAACAUUCUGUGUAAUUCUUAUUGUCUCUUAACCCUACUUGUUGAAUUACGAAAACUUCAUAUACAAAAAUUUGAGCAUUAUACUCUUUAGCUGUACAUUAUCAUUUCAAAACAAACUUAUACAUGGCUCUCACUAUUACAAUAGUCUUCCCACUGUAAAAACUUUUAAGCUGUAACUUUCUGCCAUUACUACGUUACCUUCGUAUUAGUUUAUGCCAUACUUCUUUCUGAGUUUCUGUCAAUAUUCAUCUGAGGUAUUUUUGUGUAAAAAUUAGAUAGUAACAGGAAAAUAGAUAACUGCUUCCAAUAUGUAGAAGUCAUUACUACAGCUUUGCCUAUUAACACAUACACACUAUUUCUUCAUGUCCCAGAUGUUCAGGUAUAUGGGAAUGAAACAAUGAGUUGGAACCUCUUGAUUCAGUUAUUCUGGUGACAAACAAUGUGUAUAGCUCAUUGACGAUUGUUUAACCCUUGACAAAAUGUGGCUGCAAUUGUUACUUGCAGAUGUAGCCACACUUAAUUUCUUUUCUCCACUCCCCACUGCAUUGUAUUUGUUAUUCUUGAUAUCAGAAAUGUGUUAAGAAAUAUGCCACUAACUGGGUGUGCUCCCUAUACAAUUAGCUACAGAAAGAGGUGAUAACUCAUAUUAUUUACAAAGAUUACAAGUAUAAAGAACCUUAAAAUAAUCAUUUUCUAUAAUUUGUUAUCAAUUGUUAAGUUUAUUUUAACAAUUAUCAAUUAGCUACAGAACACGAGUAGUGUUUCUUACUUUAGCCUGAUGUAAACAUGUGAUGCGGUAAUAUAGUGAAGAAUAUUACUCACUUCAGGGGAUAGGGCUUUGGUCAAGAAUUUUGAGAAACUCUUGAAAAAGGAAAAGAAAACCCCCCGUGAUAGUAAUACAAUUCCAAAAGCAAAAGGAGAAAAAAUGUAAAUAUAUUAAAUCAAAAAAUAUUUUAAGGUAAGGCAAAAGUAGGUAUAGAAUGGUGAGUCACAUACAAAUUGUGAAAGUGAGUAAUGGCCCAGAAAUCAAAGGAGAGGGAAAAAUAUGGUAGGUGAAUAUGGUUGCAAUGCUAAUUAAAAAAAUGUUAUUAGCAGCUAGCUCAAUUCAAGCUUUGAAUAAAUAGAAAGAGUGUUUAUAACAGUACGCUUAAUCUACUGGUGCUAAUAUUAAGAUAAUUGUUGAAAUAUACUUAAAAGAAGUUAGUGAAAGCAGAGAAUGAAAGACUAUUGAACUUUUCUGGUUUAUUGUGUAAAAAUUUGCCUGUAUCCAACAUACAGGCACAAAAAUAAAAUACUGGAAAUAGAGAGCAAAUCUUGGCCAUUCAAAUGAGAGUCAGUUAUUAAUUCUUUGGACAUAGGCUGUACUCCUACAAGCAAACUACGGCUAAAAUAUGCGAUUCAAUACAGAUACUCAUUUUUCAAGUGUUUACAACCUGUUUGAGUCCAUUUGGACUGCUGUAACAAAUUACCUUAGACUGGGUAAUUUAUAAACCAAAUUUAUUAUUCUCAGUUCUGGGGGUUGGGAAGUCCAAGAUCUAGGUGCCAGCAGAGUUGUUACCUGGUGAGGUUUGUUUCUCAAACUUACUGCUGCAUCUUCACAUGGCAUAAGGGCAAAAGGGACAAAGUAGCUCCCUAUGGGUUCUUUUAUAAGGG